rnacentral:lncRNA from 1 species
GCACAGAUUGGUGGUAUUUGAAAAGGAGGUUGAAUUAUGGUGUUGACGGAGAUGGUGAAGGGCGAUAUCAGAGGUUGGUCACGGUGGUUACUUCAUGUUGAAUGGGGGAUUGGUUGAGAGAAACGAGGAAAAAGUGUUGAGAAGGUGCGGAGGAGGCGAAGCUUUAUGGAGAUUGAAGGUUGUUAUCGUUUCAUGUUUGGAUCUUUAAAGAUUUUUUUGAACUAUCUAAUCGAUUGAAG